rnacentral:rRNA from 1 species
AGAGUUUGAUUCUGGCUCAGAACGAACGCUGGCGGCGUGGAUAAGACAUGCAAGUCGUGCGGGGAUCUCUCGGUAGCAAUAUUGAAAGCUUUCAGCGGCGAACGGGUGCGUAACACGUGGGCAACAUGCCGGAAAGUGGGGGAUAGCCCGCCGAAAGGCGGAUUAAUACCGCAUGUGGCCGCUUCGCGAUUGCGGGGCGGCCAAAGCUGGGGAUCUUCGGACCUGGCGCUUUCCGAUUGGCCCGCGGCCUAUCAGUUUGUUGGUGAGGUAACGGCUCACCAAGACUACGACGGGUAGCUGGUCUGAGAGGAUGAUCAGUCACACUGGAACUGAGACACGGUCCAGACACCUACGAGUGGCAGCAGUCGAGAAUCAUUCACAAUGGGCGAAAGCCUGAUGGUGCGACGCCGCGUGGAGGAUGACGGCCCUCGGGUUGUAAAACUCCUGUCAUCAGGGAGCAAGGCGUCUCCGGUUAACAGCCGGGAGCGUUGAUAGUACCUGAAGAGGAAGAGACGGCUAACUCUGUGCCAGCAGCCGCGGUAAUACAGAGGUCUCAAGCGUUGUUCGGAAUUACUGGGCGUAAAGAGUGCGUAGGCGGCGCGGUAAGUCAGAUGUGAAAUCCCGGGGCUCAACCCCGGAACUGCAUCCGAUACUGCCGCGCUAGAGGGCUGGAGAGGAGACUGGAAUUCACGGUGUAGCAGUGAAAUGCGUAGAUAUCGUGAGGAACACCAAUGGCGAAGGCAAGUCUCUGGACAGCUUCUGACGCUGAGGCACGAAGGCUAGGGGAGCGAACAGGAUUAGAUACCCUGGUAGUCCUAGCAGUAAACGGUGCACGUUUGGUGUGGGCGGGUUCGACCCCGUCCGUGCCGGAGCUAACGCGUUAAACGUGCCGCCUGGGGAGUACGGCCGCAAGGCUAAAACUCAAAGAAAUUGACGGGGACCCGCACAAGCGGUGGAGUAUGUGGCUUAAUUCGAUGCAACGCGAAGAACCUUACCUGGGUUUGACAUGUUUGGUCGCACCCCGAUGAAAGUCGGGGGUCAGUUCGGCUGGACCUUACACAGGUGCUGCAUGGCUGUCGUCAGCUCGUGUCGUGAGAUGUUGGGUUAAGUCCCGCAACGAGCGCAACCCCUGUGAUCUGUUGCCACCUCACUUCGGUGAGAGCACUCUGAUCAGACUGCCCAGAUCAACUGGGAGGAAGGUGGGGACGACGUCAAGUCAGUAUGGCCCUUACGCCCAGGGCUGCACACGUACUACAAUGCCCAGCACAACGAGAGCCGAACCCGCGAGGGGGAGGAAAUCACCAAAACUGGGCUCAGUUCGGAUUGGAGGCUGCAACUCGCCUCCAUGAAGUCGGAAUCGCUAGUAAUGGCGCAUCAGCUACGGCGCCGUGAAUACGUUCCCGGGUCUUGUACACACCGCCCGUCACAUCAUGGAAGCUGGUUGUACCCGAAGUAUGCGCGCCAACCGCAAGGAGGCAGCGUCCGAAGGUAUGGCUAGUAACUGGGAUGAAGUCGGAACAAGGUA